AUUGAACGCUGGCGGCAUGCUUUACACAUGCAAGUCGAACGGUAACAGGCCUUCGGGCGCUGACGAGUGGCGAACGGGUGAGUAAUGCAUCGGAACGUGCCCAGAGGUGGGGGAUAACGCAGCGAAAGCUGUGCUAAUACCGCAUAUUAUCUGAGGAUGAAAGCGGGGGACCUUCGGGCCUCGCGCUACUGGAGCGGCCGAUAUCAGAUUAGGUAGUUGGUGGGGUAAAGGCCUACCAAGCCGACGAUCUGUAGCUGGUCUGAGAGGACGACCAGCCACACUGGGACUGAGACACGGCCCAGACUCCUACGGAGGCGACG
rnacentral:rRNA from 1 species